rnacentral:rRNA from 1 species
GACAGAGGGUGCAAACGUUGUUCGGAAUUACUGGGCGUAAAGCGCGUGUAGGCGGUUCCGCAAGUCAGGUGUGAAAGCCCAGGGCUCAACCCUGGAAGUGCACUUGAUACUACGGAGCUUGAGUACUGAAGAGGAGAGCGGAAUUCCCGGUGUAGAGGUGAAAUUCGUAGAUAUCGGGAGGAACACCAGUGGCGAAGGCGGGUCUCUGGGCAGUAACUGACGCUGAGGAGCGAAAGCGUGGGGAGCGAACAGG